rnacentral:rRNA from 1 species
UACGAAGGAUUCGAGCGUUAUCCGGAUUUAUUGGGUUUAAAGGGUGCGUAGGUGGAUUAAUAAGUCAGUGGUGAAAGCCCGCAGCUCAACUGCGGAACUGCCAUUGAUACUGUUAGUCUUGAGUACAGUUGAGGUGGGCGGAAUGUGUCAUGUAGCGGUGAAAUGCUUAGAUAUGACACAGAACACCGAUUGCGAAGGCAGCUCACUAAGCUGUAACUGACACUGAGGCACGAAAGCGUGGGGAGCAAACAGG